UACGUAGGAGGCAAGCGUUGUCCGGAAUCACUGGGCGUAAAGCGCGUGUAGGCGGAUCGCUAAGUCUGUGGUGAAAGCGCCUGGCUUAACCGGGCGAGGUCCAUGGAAACUAGCGGUCUGGAGGCCGGUAGAGGGGGGUGGAAUUCCGGGUGUAGUGGUGAAAUGCGUAGAGAUCCGGAGGAACACCAGUGGCGAAGGCGGCCCCCUGGGCCCGCGCCUGACGCUGAGGUGCGAAAGCGUGGGGAGCAAACAGG
rnacentral:rRNA from 1 species